GACGAACGCUGGCGGCGUGCUUAACACAUGCAAGUCGAACGAUGAAGCCCAGCUUGCUGGGUGGAUUAGUGGCGAACGUGUGAGUAACACGUGGGCAACCUGCCCCAAACUCUGGGAUAACUCCUCGAAAGAGGUGCUAAUACCGGAUACGAACUAGACAGACAUCUGUACUAGUUGGAAAGUUUUUCGGUUUGGGAUGGGCUCGCGGCCUAUCAGCUUGUUGGUGAGGUAACGGUUCACCAAGGCUACGACGGGUAACCGGCCUGAGAGGGCGGACGGUCACACUGGGACUGCGACACGGCCCAGCCGCCUACGGGAGGGAGCAGUGGGGAAUAGUGCGCAAUGGGCGAAAGCCUGACGCAGCGACGCCGAGUGAGUGAAGAAGGCCUUCGGGUUGUAAAGCUCUUUUGUCAGGGAAGAAACAGCAGCUCUAACACAGUCUGCGAAUGACGGUACCUGAAGAAUAAGCACAGGCUAACUACUUGCCAGCAGCCGCCGUAA
rnacentral:rRNA from 1 species